rnacentral:rRNA from 1 species
GAUGAACGCUGGCGGCGUGCCUAAUACAUGCAAGUCGAGCGAACGGACGAGAAGCUUGCUUCUCUGAUGUUAGCGGCGGACGGGUGAGUAACACGUGGAUAACCUACCUAUAAGACUGGGAUAACUUCGGGAAACCGGAGCUAAUACCGGAUAAUAUUUUGAACCGCAUGGUUCAAAAGUGAAAGGCGGUCUUGCUGUCACUUAUAGAUGGAUCCGCGCUGCAUUAGCUAGUUGGUAAGGUAACGGCUUACCAAGGCGACGAUGCAUAGCCGACCUGAGAGGGGAUCGGCCACACUGGAACUGAGACACGGUCCAGACUCCUACGGGAGGCAGCAGUAGGGAAUCUUCCGCAAAGGGCGAAAGCCUGACGGAGCAACGCCGCGUGAGUGAUGAAGGUCUUCGGAUCGUAAAACUCUGUUAUUAGGGAAGAACAUAUGUGUAAGUAACUGUGCACAUCUUGACGGUACCUAAUCAGAAAGCCACGGCUAACUACGUG